CACCGCGAGCGCGAGAAGUCGAAGUGAGGAGCAGAAAGCGUUGUUAGUGUUAGUUCUGGCCCGUUUGGACCCAAAUUAAAGUGUAUCAGUAUGAAGCAGGCGGUGACGGCGCACUGAUUCACUGUCGGAGCUCGGUUCACUAAUGACCGAAUCACCGAGGAACCGACCAAAGAUAACUCACCCGCACGGAGAAGAAGAACAAGAGGAGUAGAAGAUGAGCUGGAGUGGGGCAAAGAGAACUGCAUUCAGAUCAAACGGAUACAAGAGGUGGCCGAGUUGUUUGAGGAUCUGAAGAAUUGAGUGUUACAAUUCAGCAUGCACAUCAGCGAAACUUCUCCCUCUGACUACACCAGCGUGCACACAGAAAUUCAUAGUGCAGGUAACACACACACACACACACACGAGUAGAGCAGGUGUAGUUUAACAGCAUAUGUGUAUAAAGAGGCUUUUUUCUUCAGGUCAAAAUAUAUACAGCAGGGGUGCCCGAUAUGUUGAUCGCGAUCGACUGGUUGAUCGCAAAGGAAGUGCAGGUAGAUCGCCAUAAAAAAAAAGAUGUUAGUUGACGUACAGGGCAGCCAGUCUGAGAUCUCGUCUUUUCUCUCACCACGCGUGUGCGAUCAAGUGCGCCAGUGCUAAAGGCUAGCGAGUGAAAUCGCGGGGAGAGGACAUUUUUCAGUCUUUUAAAGACUUCAUUGACAAAACCCAGCUCCAGUGUGCAAAUUGAUAUCAGUCAAUGGUUGAGCGGUGCAAAUGGAUUCAUUGCCAAGUGCAGGGAAGACGAUGCUUUCCCUGACUUCCUUAACUACCACUGCAUAAUACACCAACAAGCCUUAUGUGCAAGAGUGCUAGACAUGAAAGAGAUCAUGGAUGUAGCAACAAAGAUCACCUGUUCUAUACGUGCUAGAUCACUUCAAAGACGGCUGCGCAUCUGGAGAAGGCAGACUGCGACCAAUCAGCUCCUGCUACACACUGACGUGAGAUGGCUUAGUAGGGGUAAAUUCCUGCAGAGAUUUCGAGAGCUCUGUCCGGAGAUAAGCGAGUUUCCUUUUGCUGUUAAACAUGCAGAAUACACCCAGGUCAAUGAUGAUCAGUGGCUGCUGGACUUUUUUUAACCGAGCAUUUUUAACCGAUCUGACCAGCUUAGCUACUCAGCUACUGUCCGGACUAUGCAACCCUGGCUGAUUCUAUUCAGUGCA